GUGCUUGGUUCAGCAGCACAUGCACUAAAAAUUGUAAUAACACAGAAAUUAGCAUGGCUUUUACACAGCCAUGACAUGCACAUUCAUGAAAUGUUCCAUACCUUA
rnacentral:snRNA from 1 species